rnacentral:ncRNA from 2 species
AAUUAUAAAGGAGCUAUGAAGUAUAAUCUAUAACUGGUCACCUAAGGGUUAUAUGGAGCUAAUGGUGAACCCACCCUGUAUUUUU